rnacentral:ncRNA from 2 species
GGACACGUGGUUCGUAAUUCUCCCACGUUAAAAAACUAUGAAACG